CAGCCGUAAACAAUGUGCGUUAGGUGUGUCGGUAACCACGCGUUACUGAUGCGCCGAAGAGAAAUCGUGAAACGCACCACCUGGGAAGUACGGUCGCAAGGCUGAAACUUAAAGGAAUUGGCGGGGGGAGGCACCACAACAGGUGGAGCCUGCGGUUUAAUUGGAUUCAACGCCGGACAUCUCACCGGAUAAGACAGCUGAAUGAUUGUCAAUCUGAAGGUUUUACAUGACUAGCUGAGAGGUGGUGCAUGGC
rnacentral:rRNA from 1 species